GACGAACGCUGGCGGCGUGCUUAACACAUGCAAGUCGAACGGAAAGGCCCUGCUUUUGUGGGGUGCUCGAGUGGCGAACGGGUGAGUAACACGUGAGUAACCUGCCCUUGACUUUGGGAUAACUUCAGGAAACUGGGGCUAAUACCGGAUAGGAGCUCCUGCUGCAUGGUGGGGGUUUGAAAGUUUCGGCGGUUGGGGAUGGACUCGCGGCUUAUCAGCUUGUUGGUGGGGUAGUGGCUUACCAAGGCUUUGACGGGUAGCCGGCCUGAGAGGGUGACCGGCCACAUUGGGACUGAGAUACGGCCCAGACUCCUACGGGAGGCAGCAGUGGGGAAUAUUGCACAAUGGGCGGAAGCCUGAUGCAGCAACGCCGCGUGCGGGAUGACGGCCUUCGGGCUGUAAACCGCUUUCGCCUGUGACGAAGCGUGAGUGACGGUAAUGGGUAAAGAAGCACCGGCUAACUACGUG
rnacentral:rRNA from 1 species